CUUCCAGGAAAAGCUCCUAAGCUUCAGCUUACGCAGACCGUACCGUAAACCGACACAGGUGGGUAGGAUGAGAAUUCUCAGGCGCUUGAGAGAACUCGGGUGAAGGAACUAGGCAACAUGGCACCGUAACUUCGGGAGAAGGUGCACCCUUUUUGGUGGCUCGUGCGAGCUAUAGCUGAAGAGGGUCGCAGUAACCAGGCCGCUGCGACUGUUUAUCAAAAACACAGCACUCUGCAAACACGAAAGUGGACGUAUAGGGUGUGACGCCUGCCCGGUGCUGGAAGGUUAAUUGAUGGGGUCAGCCGCAAGGCGAAGCUCUUGAUCGAAGCCCCAGUAAACGGCGGCCGUAACUAUAACGGUCCUAAGGUAGCGAAAUUCCUUGUCGGGUAAGUUCCGACCUGCACGAAUGGCGUAACGACAGCGGCGCUGUCUCCACCCGAGACUCAGUGAAAUUGAAAUCGCUGUGAAGAUGCAGCGUUCCCGUGGCAAGACGGAAAGACCCCGUGAACCUUUACUAUAGCUUUACACUGAACGUUGAGUUCGUCUGUGUAGGAUAGGUGGGAGGCUAUGAAACCAUGGCGCUAGCUGUGGCGGAGCCAUCCUUGAAAUACCACCCUGUCGUGCUUGACGUUCUAACCUGGGCCCAUUAUCUGGGUCGGGGACCGUGUAUGGUGGGUAGUUUGACUGGGGCGGUCUCCUCCUAAAGAGUAACGGAGGAGCUCGAAGGUACGCUCAGCGCGGUCGGACAUCGCGCACUGUGUGCAAAGGCAUAAGCGUGCUUGACUGCAAGAUCGACGGAUCAAGCAGGUAGGAAACUAGGACUUAGUGAUCCGGUGGUUCUGUAUGGAAGGGCCAUCGCUCAACGGAUAAAAGGUACUCCGGGGAUAACAGGCUGAUACCGCCCAAGAGUUCAUAUCGACGGCGGUGUUUGGCACCUCGAUGUCGGCUCAUCACAUCCUGGGGCUGUAGUCGGUCCCAAGGGUAUGGCUGUUCGCCAUUUAAAGUGGUACGCGAGCUGGGUUCAGAACGUCGUGAGACAGUUCGGUCCCUAUCUGCCAUGGGCGUUGGAGAUUUGAGAGGGGCUGCUCCUAGUACGAGAGGACCGGAGUGGACGAACCUCUGGUGUUCCGGUUGUCACGCCAGUGGCAUUGCCGGGUAGCUAUGUUCGGAAGCGAUAACCGCUGAAAGCAUCUAAGCGGGAAGCGCGCCUCAAGAUGAGAUCUCCCGGGGCACAAGCCCCCUGAAGGAACCAUGUAGACUACGUGGUUGAUAGGUCAGGUGUGUAAGUACAGCAAUGUAUUGAGCUAACUGAUACUAAUGAUCCGUGCGGCUUGACCAU
rnacentral:rRNA from 1 species